CAAUUGUAAAGUUGUCUAAUAUGUUAUAUGUACACAGUUUCCUAUAAAGUUACAUUGUAUAAGUACACUAUAUAGUUAACAGAUAAAAAUGGAACCCAAGCACUGAACUACAAACGGUCUACACACUUAAAUAAAACUAGCUACAGAAUAUGGGAGAGAUGGAGGAGAAAGGAGAAGAUGGAGAUGUAGGAAACGGAGAUACAGGAGAUGCAGAACAGUUUGUAUGUGCA